GCCCAGACUCCUACGGGAGGCAGCAGUGGGGGAUAUUGCACAAUGGGGGGAACCCUGAUGCAGCGACGCCGCGUGGGUGAAGGAGCGUUUCGGCGCGUAAAGCCCUAUCGGCAGGGAAGAAGGAGGACGGUACCUGACUAAGAAGCCCCGGCUAACUACGUGCCAGCAGCCGCGGUAAUACGUAGGGGGCAAGCGUUAUCCGGAUUUACUGGGUGUAAAGGGAGCGUAGACGGCGAUGCAAGUCUGAAGUGAAAGGCGGGGGCCCAACCCCCGGACUGCUUUGGAAACUGUAUAGCUGGAGUGCAGGAGAGGUAAGUGGAAUUCCUAGUGUAGCGGUGAAAUGCGUAGAUAUUAGGAAGAACACCAGUGGCGAAGGCGGCUUUCUGGACUGAAACUGACGCUGAGGCACGAAAGCGUGGGGAGCGAACAGGAUUAGAUACCCUAGUA
rnacentral:rRNA from 1 species